UUUAUAGAUGUAGUUUGAGGGAUUAGAUGUCUAUAUAAUAGUGAAUGUGGGGUUUGUGGAUAAAUGAAGCAGCUUUUAGGUUUUAGUAAAUUUAUUGAAAGAAUUUUUUUAGGGAUAGAAGAUUAGUAUUGUGAAAGAAUUUUUUUAUAAAUUUAAAGAAAAAAUAAGUUUUUGUACCUUGGGUAUCAGGGUUUAUCAAAAAGGUUUUAUAGUUUUUGGUUUUCUCGAGUUUAAAAGAGCUAUUUAAUUGUUAUAUUCAUUGUGGCAAUAAUGUUUUUAAUUAUUAAAUGGUAGUGAAAUGCUAGUCGUUUUUAAAUAUAUCUAGUUUUUUGAGAAAAAAAUUAAAUUUUUUUCUAUUUUAGUACAUUUUUACUUUUAUAGGUAUAUAUUUGGUAGAAGCAAUAAUUUAGGGGUUGAGCUUUAGGUUAAAUUUGUAUAACAUAAUGGGGUUAUUUACUUAAUAUAUAGGAUUUAAAGUUUCUGUUUAGUGAUUUAUAUCUUUUUUGGUUAGUAAUAAGAUUUUUUAAUUAUUUUUAUAUUAUUUAUUGAAAUAGGGGGUUUAAUUGGGGUAACCUGUGAAAAAAUGAUAAAAUUAGUAUAAUUAAUAUUAUUUAUUAUAGUUUGGUUAAGGUUUAAUUAAGGAACUCGGCAAAUUAUAUCUCUCACCUGUUUAUUAAAAACAUGUCCUUUUGAUUAUAAUUUAAGGUCCGGCCUGCCCAAUGAAUAUUUUAAAUGGCCGCGGUAUACUGACCGUGCAAAGGUAGCAUAAUCAUUAGUUUUUUAAUUGAAAGCUGGAAUGAAAGGUCUCAUGAAGAGAUUUCUGUCUCGAUUAAAAUUUUUUUAGAAUUUUAUUAUUUUGUAAAAAGGCUAAAAUUUAUGUAAAAGACGAGAAGACCCUAUAGAGUUUAAUAAAUUUAUUGGAAAUAUUAAUUGGGAUCUUUUUGUUUAUUUGUUAGAUUUAUUUGGUUGGGGUGAUUUAAAAAUUGAAUAAACUUUUUAAUUAUUUGAUCACUGAUUAGUGAAUAUAUGAUCCUUACAAAAGAUUAAAAGAAAAAAUUACCUUAGGGAUAACAGCGUUAUUUUUCUAGAGAGUUCAAAUCGAAAGAAGAGUUUGCGACCUCGAUGUUGGAUUAAAAUUUAGGUUUGGUGGAGAAGCUAGAUUGUUAGGUCUGUUCGACCUUUAAAAUUUUACAUGAUCUGAGUUUAGACCGGCGUGAGCCAGGUUGGUUUCUAUCUUUACAAUUCUAAUAUUUUUUAGUACGAAAGGACCAAAAAUUUACUGAAUAUUAGUUUUUAUUGAACAUUAUUGUUGCUUUGGCAGAAUAGUGUGAUAGAUUUAGAAUCUUUUUAUGUAGUGAAUUACUAUAG
rnacentral:rRNA from 1 species